rnacentral:rRNA from 1 species
GGAGGGGGCCAGCGUUGUUCGGAAUUACUGGGCGUAAAGGGCGCGUAGGCGGCUGCGCAAGUCGAACGUGAAAUCCCUCGGCUCAACCGGGGAACUGCGUCCGAUACUGCGUGGCUUGAGUCCCGGAGAGGGUAGCGGAAUUCCCAGUGUAGCGGUGAAAUGCGUAGAUAUUGGGAGGAACACCAGUGGCGAAGGCGGCUACCUGGACGGGUACUGACGCUGAGGCGCGAAAGCUAGGGGAGCAAACAGGAUUAGAUACCCUGGUAGUCCUAGCUGUAAACGAUGGGCACUUGGUGUUGCGGGUAUCGACCCCCCCUGCAGUGCCCGAAGCUAACGCAUUAAGUGCCCCCGCCUGGGGGAGUACGGUCGCAAGGCUG